UACGUAGGGUGCGAGCGUUGUCCGGAAUUACUGGGCGUAAAGAGCUCGUAGGUGGUUUGUCGCGUUGUUCGUGAAGUCCCACGGCUUAACUGUGGGCGUGCGGGCGAUACGGGCAGACUGGAGUACUGCAGGGGAGACUGGAAUUCCUGGUGUAGCGGUGGAAUGCGCAGAUAUCAGGAGGAACACCGGUGGCGAAGGCGGGUCUCUGGGCAGUAACUGACGCUGAGGAGCGAAAGCGUGGGGAGCGAACAGG
rnacentral:rRNA from 1 species